rnacentral:rRNA from 1 species
UGGGGAAUAUUGCACAAUGGGCGAAAGCCUGAUGCAGCAACGCCGCGUGAGUGAUGAAGGCCUUCGGGUUGUAAAGCUCUGUCUUUUGGGACGAUAAUGACGGUACCAAAGGAGGAAGCCACGGCUAACUACGUGCCAGCAGCCGCGGUAAUACGUAGGUGGCAAGCGUUGUCCGGAUUUACUGGGCGUAAAGGAUGCGUAGGCGGAUUUUUAAGUGAGAUGUGAAAUACCCGGGCUUAACUUGGGUGCUGCAUUUCAAACUGGGAAUCUAGAGUGCGGGAGAGGAGAAUGGAAUUCCUAGUGUAGCGGUGAAAUGCGUAGAGAUUAGGAAGAACACCAGUGGCGAAGGCGAUUCUCUGGACCGUAACUGACGCUGAGGCAUGAAAGCGUGGGUAGCAAACAGGAUUAGAUACCCCUGGUAGUCCACGCCGUAAACGAUGAGUACUAGGUGUAGGAGGUAUCGACCCCUUCUGUGCCGCAGUUAACACAAUAAGUACUCCGCCUGGGAAGUACGAUCGCAGGAUUAAAACU